rnacentral:rRNA from 1 species
ACUGGAGUUUGAUCCUGGCUCAGAUUGAACGCUGGCGGAAUGCUUUACACAUGCAAGUCGAACGGUAGAGGGGGCAACCCCUUGAGAGUGGCGAACGGGUGAGUAAUGCGUCGGAACGUGCCCAGUCGUGGGGGAUAACGUAGUGAAAUUACGCUAAUACCGCAUACGAUCUAUGGAUGAAAGCGGGGAUCGCAAGACCUCGCGCGAUUGGAGCGGCCUGCGUCCGAUUAGCUAGUUGGUGGGGUAAAGGCCUACCAAGCCUGCGAUCUGUAGCUGGUCUGAGAGGACGACCAGCCACACUGGAACUGAGACACGGUCCAGACUCCGUACGGGAGGCAGCGAGUGGGGAAUUUUUGG